rnacentral:rRNA from 1 species
CACAGCGGCCUCAAGCGUUGUCCGGAAUUACUGGGCUUAAAGCGAAUGUAGGUGGUGAUGCAAGUCAGAUGGGAAAGCCCUGGGCUUAACCCGGGAACUGCAUUUGAAACUGCAUCGCUGGAGUGCGACAGAAGAGAGAGGAAUUCCAGGUGUAGGGGUGAAAUCCGUAGAUAUCAGGAGGAAUACCGGCGGCGAAGGCAUCUAUCUGGUCCGUUUCUGACACUGAGAUUCGAAAGCAUGGGUAGAAAACAGG